rnacentral:rRNA from 1 species
CGGACGGGUGAGUAACGCGUGAGAAUCUGGCUUCAGGUCUGGGACAACCACUGGAAACGGUGGCUAAUACCGGAUGUGCCGAGAGGUGAAAGGUUAACUGCCUGAAGAUGAGCUCGCGUCUGAUUAGCUAGUUGGUAGAGUAAGAGCCUACCAAGGCGACGAUCAGUAGCUGGUCUGAGAGGACGAUCAGCCACACUGGGACUGAGACACGGCCCAGACUCCUACGGGAGGCAGCAGUGGGGGAUUUUCCGCAAUGGGCGAAAGCCUGACGGAGCAAUACCGCGUGAGGGAGGAAGGCUCUUGGGUCGUAAACCUCUUUUCUCAGGGAAGAACACAAUGACGGUACCUGAGGAAUAAGCAUCGGCUAACUCCGUGCCAGCAGCCGCGGUAAUACGGAGGAUGCAAGCGUUAUCCGGAAUGAUUGGGCGUAAAGCGUCCGCAGGUGGCAAUGUAAGUCUGCUGUUAAAGAGUCUAGCUCAACUAGAUAAGAGCAGUGGAAACUACAUAGCUAGAGUACGUUCGGGGCAGAGGGAAUUCCUGGUGUAGCGGUGAAAUGCGUAGAGAUCAGGAAGAACACCAGUGGCGAAGGCGCUCUGCUAGGCCGUAACUGACACUGAGGGACGAAAGCUAGGGGAGCGAAUGGGAUUAGAUACCCCAGUAGUC